rnacentral:rRNA from 1 species
UUCGGAAUUAUUGGGCGUAAAGCGCGCGUAGGCGGCUUCGCAAGUCGGGUGUGAAAUCCCCAAGCUCAACUUGGGAACUGCAUUCGAGACUGCGUUGCUAGAGUAUGGGAGAGGGAAGUGGAAUUUCAGGUGUAGCGGUGAAAUGCGUAGAUAUCUGAAGGAACAUCAGUGGCGAAAGCGACUUCCUGGACCAAUACUGACGCUCAUGUGCGAAAGCGUGGGGAGCAAACAGG